AUGCGCCCGCCCGACCGGCCGGGGUCCGCGCGCGCCCCGGCCGGGAGCCGCCACGCGCUCCGGCACCCGCCGGCCCCGCCGCGCCGCGCCCAGGCCCACCCGCGCGCGCCCACGCAGCCGCGGCCCGCGUACCGAGCGGGCACGGCGCGGAGCCGGCCGGCUCAAGGCCCCGGCCCGACGGGCGCACCGGCGCAGCAUGGAGCCAAGUCCGCCGACGCUGGCCGCGCAGCGGGACCCGCGGCGCGCGCCGGAGGCGCCGAACCCCGGCGCAGAGCCGCCGGGCGACGACCGACCCAGCGCAAGAGAACGCGCCUCCCGCUGGCCGCCCGCCCCCCGCGCCGCGCCGCCCCGCGCCGCCGCCGCCGCGAGUCCAGCUCGCAGGAGGAGGAGUCAUCGACGGCUUCGCCAUCGCCAGCUUCAGCACCCUGGAGGCCCUAGAGAAGGACAUGGCCCUGAAGCCACAUGAGCGGAAGGAGAAGUGGGAACGCCGCCUCAUCAAGAAGCCCCGGGAGUCGGAAAACGGCCCCCCUGCGGAGCCCAGCGAGCACCGGCGGCCCCUGGAGCCAGGCAGCCCGGGGCAGGACGUGGAGCCUGCCGGCGAUGGCCCGAGGAAAGUCCCGCUGCAGCCCUCCAAGCAGGUGUGCUCCCCAGAAGGGGGGCCGCUCCCAGCCAACCACCGGGACCAGAACGGCCCGGCCCAGCGCCAGCAGCAGCUCCAGCCCAGCCAGCCCAGCCAGCCCCAGGGCCCCCCCCCAGCCCCGACGGCGCCCCCGGACCCCAGGCAGCCCAGCCAGCCCCGCCAGCCCCAGCGGCCACCCCCGGGUCAGCGCGCCUGGCCCCAGCGGUCACUUCCGGGCCUGAGACAGCCCUGCCAGCCCCGGCGGUUACCUCCGGGCCCCCGUCAACCCUGCAGACCCCAGCAGCUGCCUGCAGCCCCAGAUCAGCAGUGUCGGCCCCGGCAGUCGCGCCGGGCUCAGCCCUGCCAGCCGCGCGGGGCGCUCCCGGGCCUCAGGCAGUGCUGCCGGCGCCUGCGCUCGCUCCUGGCCCCACGGUCCCUCCUGGCCCCCUGCCUCCACUGCCGGCGCCUGCGCUCCCUGCUGGCCCCGCGGUCCCUCCUGGGCCCCUGCCUCCACUGCCGGCGCCUGCGCUCGCUCCUGGCCCCAGGGCACCGCUGCCGGUGUCUGCGGUCACUGCUGACCCUGUGGCACCGCUGCCGGCCCCGGUGGCCAUGGGCCAGCCCCUGUCACUGCAGCCAGCCCAGCGGGGCUUCCUCAGGACAGCGCUGGCGGCCGCUGUGGUCCCUGCUAGCCCAGUGCCCGCGGUGCCAGCCCCCACGGCCACUCCUGCCCCUGCGACCACGCCGCCGGCCUGCCAGCUUCCUCCCGCGCCCGUGCUGCUGCUUCCGGCGGGCAUUCCUAGCCCCGUGUCAGUACGGCCAGCCCCGAAGGUCCCUCCUGGGCCAGCCUGGCCGCCCCCGGCGGUCCCUCCUGGGUGCCCGUCAGCCUCGGCAAUUAGUUGAAGCCCCAGAGCAGCCCGGCCCCCCCAAGCCCUCGCUGCUGGGCCCAGGACAGCCGUGCCAACAGAAGCGGCCACUCAUGGGCCCAGAGCAGCCUCGGCCACCCAAGCGGCCACUCAUGGGCCCGGAGCAGCCCUGCCAGCCCCUGCGGCCACUCAUGGGCCCCAACCAGUCCUGCCAGCCCCAGCCCUUACUCCCCAUCCCCGACCGCCCUUCUCUCCUGGGACAGCCAGGCCCACCCCGCCGGCCUCUCCUGGGGCCCCCGUGUCAGCCCCGGCGGUCCCUGUUGGACCUGGUGCCAGCCCCUCAGCCCCAGCUGCUGGCCCUGGGCCGUCCCUGCCGGCCCCUGCGGUCACGGUGGACCCGCUCCUCUGCCCCCUGGGCGGCCCGCCAGGCCCCAUCUGUGAGCCCUGGAGCCUGACACCUGCGGGCGCUUCCUUGGUGUUGCAGACACUGUGCGGGCUGCGUGCUGGUGAGGCUGAGGCUGGGCCGCUUCCCCGCAUGCCUGAGAUGCUUUGCUGGACUGGCCUGAGGCCUCCAGACAGGGCCAGGCGUCGCCGCCGUGGAGUCUGAGGCUCAGGCGGGGGUGGGGGCCGCAGGGUGCUGGGAUCAGUUGAGGCCCGCCCACAAAGCAGCAGGAGGAGAGGAGAGGAGACAUGUGGCGCCGUGCACCCUCCUCUACCCAGGGCCACUUGUGACAUGCUCGCCCUGGGGAGGGAGCACAGCCGGCCUCCGCUCGGAGCUGGCUGGGGAUCCCUCAGCGUCUUUCCAGGCCUCUGAGCUGCUGACACUGUUCUUGCAUCUCUGAGUCUCCGUGCACACCUGUCCCAGGUGUGCCACCCGUGCAGGGUGCGUGCGUGUGGGUGGCGUGUGUGGCUAUGUGCGGUUGUGUGGUGUGCCUGGGUGGGAGUGCUUUUGUUGGGGGGUGCCGCCUGCAGGCCUUGCUUCUUGCCCCUCACCUGUCUGGCCACAGGGUGUCCCCUGUCCCCAGGUGGAACAGCCUGGUGGCGAGUUGGCCGAGGUGUAGGUUUGGCUGGAGGCCAGGCUCCAGGUCCCAGCCCUCCCCAGCGGUCGGGUGGUGCCAGCGUCCCCUGCCCAGGUCCUUAAGCUGCAGGAGGCCUCUGCCUCCACCCCCCAGGGGGUGCACAGAAGGGGCUGUCAAGGUCUCCAGACCAGGGAGCCCCCACAGCACUGUCUGGCCGUGGCCCAGUCGGCAGACCCACACUGCAGGGCUGUCUCUGGGCCCCCACCUAUGGGCCACACCCCCCAUCCAGGUGUUCUGCAGUCCCGGGCAUGCCUCUGGCCCCGUGAGGGAGGUGUUCCGCGAGGAGGGAGGAGCCGGGGAAAGGUGGGAGGGCUCUGUGUCCAGAGCCAGCCGCUUCUGGAGAGCAGCACUGGCCACGUGGGGUCCCCAGGCUGAUGGGAGGUGGGGGGAGGCUCCCUGCUGCAGACCCAAGCUGACCCCCAGCCCCCUCCCCGCUGCUCCUGAGGACCCCGCCCGCCCCAGGGCCGGCCCCUUCCUCGGUGCUCACCUGGGGCCUCCAUCCAGAAACGCAGGGCUUAUUUUUCUGAUUAAAAGAAAUAAAAAGUGCCGUGCCACUAUUUUUUA